AUUGGGGUUUCCUGGCCUGUUUAGCAGAAUUGAUGAGUAACAGGUGCCAUGAGAGACAGUGUCUCCAAACAAUGAGGUGGAGAGUGGGUGAGGAAGACACUGGCAUCGACGUAACUCUUGCUUCCACAUGCAAGCACAUACAGGCUUACCCAGAAAUUCAUGCCUGUGCAUGCACGCAUGUGCACGCACGCGCGCGCGCACACACACACACACACACACUGUGCAUGCAUGCGCACUCACACACACACACACACAGUGCAUGCAUGCGCACUCACAGGCACACACACACACACACACACACAGUGCAUGCAUGCGCACUCACACACACACACACAGUGCAUGCAUGCGCACUCACACAUACACACACACACACACACAGUGCAUGCAUGCGCACUCACAGGCACACACACACACACGCGUGCGCGCGCUCAUGGGCACACUCACAUAUGCAGAAGCAUGCAUAUACACACGCACACACGCGCUCACACAUCCACACAUACAGGCAUGCAUGCCCACACAUGCAACAGAAGUUGGUGGUGGAAUCAGUCAGGAAAGCCUCACACCCCCAGUCUUCCAACACAAAGGCUUCCUGUCUCGAACGAUCACUUGCUAGCGGAGCACAAACUUUGGGGGGGUUGGUCCCCACCUUUCCAACUGAAGUCUUCUCCACAGCACUUGCUAACUUCUGCCGCCAGAGAAACAAACCGUUCUGUUUGUUCUGAUCAUCUUAAACCCCUCCGCUGGCAUUCAGGGUCCACAGAGACUGUCUUGAUCGACUCAGUGGUAUCACCCAACUCGUUGUUUAGUGAAUAUUUGUCGAAUGACUAAUAGAAAUCUGGCUUAAGCAAGUUCUCCAGUUGGUUGGCUGUAAGAGUUUUCGUUAUUUUUGAGCAUAAGGAAGUAAAAACCCUGAGGAAGGAAAAUAUAGUUUGGAAGCUUGUUAGUGUGUGUUUUCUUCGCUGGAUUUUAGGUUUGUCUUUUGGGUUAGACUUGUGCUUCUCUACUUUUGACCAUAGAAGCCAAGAAAGAAGAACACAUCUUAGGUAGGAGAAAAAUAUGUGAAAACCGGUCAUUGUGAGGUAACCUCUCUGAUGCCUGUGUCACCUCCUUAGGCAACGUAAAAACCACGGUAAUCAUGCGCCCCAGCUCUGGGGCAUUAGCCCCGUGGGGACUUUUCUCUAGGUCUCCAUUGGUUAUGAUAUUGAUGCUACAAACUGGUCAAAUCGAACUCCUUAUGUUAAUAGAGGGUUGUCAUCAGCUCUCUGCAUGUUUGCCUCUGAAGCGCAUUUUAAGCCCGGUUUACAAUAACUGAGCACCGUCCACCUCCAGUGUGCAUUUGAAAUACCAAGGACAGGCAAACCCUCACUAACACAUACCGGGUUCCGAAAAGGUUUCAGUCUCGUUGUCCAUGUAAGCCAGGCUGGCCUUGAACCUCCAUCCUCCCAACUGGGCCUCCCCAGUACAGGACUUGCUUACUUACUUACAGGCGCCAAGCCUGAAAAGUCUUCUAGUGGCAGCCAGGGCACAGUGCUCUUUGUAGUGAACAGCAAGUGCCGUCAGCUGGCCCACUUGCCAUCCUAGAGCCUCCAGUCUCUGCCGCGUGGCACUUCUCUUUCCCAUUUAUAUAUAACCCACCUCCCCCAAAUCCCAGACUCUGUUCUCUUCAUCACAAUAUACGGGUGCCAAGAACCAUGUUUUGAAUGGAGGAGCGGUUCUCAAGCUUCUUAAUGCUGCGGCCCUUUAACACAGUUCCUCAUGUCGUGGUCGCCCCCAACCAGGAAAUUAUCUCAUUGCUACUUCAUUACUGUAAAUUUGCAUAAUGUUAUGUUAAUAUUAAUAUAAAUUACAUAUAUUAAUAUAAAUUAUUAGUGUUAUAUUCAUGUUAAUAAUGUUAAUGUGGAUAUGCAGGACUUCCGAUAUGUGACACCCCCCGCAAGGGGUUGCUCCCCACAGGUUGGGAAUCACUAAAAUAGAGCAGGUGACUUGGCGUGAGCACUGAAACUGGGCCUAGGGCCUCACCUCCUGCUGAACUGACUGUUCGGCUCUCUGUCUCCUUUUUAAAGAUUUGGGCUUUUUAAUUUAUUUUUGUGUCAGUGCAAGUGUAGGCAUGUGCCCAGGGAAGCAGGUUGCAGGCUUUGGAUCCCUUGGAACUAGAGUUGCAGGCAUCUAUGAACCACUGGAUGUGGGUGCUGGGAUCCAAACCCCAGACUCCGGCCGCCGAGCUGCAAGCCCUCUUAACUGUGGCGCCUUCUUCUCAUCUUCUCCCUCCAUAGCCCAUCUUUUAGACAGCCUCUUACUAUGUUGCCCAAGGUGUCCUUGAACUCACUCUGAAGCCCAGACAGGUUUUGAAGUCCCCUGUAGCCCAAGCAGGACUUGAACUGGGAAUCAUCCCGUUUCGUUCCUCCUCUACCCCCGCCCCCACCCCCACUAGGACCGGCUCAGUCACGGUCAGUUUUAGAGAAAGCAUAAAAACCUGUUGAAAUAAGCUGUGUUGGGCUGGAAAGAUGGCUCAGCGGUUAUGAGCACUAUCUGCUCUUCCAGAGGACCUGAGUUCAAUUCCCAGCAACCACAUGGUGGCUUACAGCCAUCUGUAAUGAGAUCGGAUGGCCUCUUCUAGUGUGCAUGAUGAGAGCAACAGUGUACUCAGAUACAUAAAAGAAAUAAAUGAACCUUUUUUUUUUUUUUUUUUUUGGUUUUUAGAGACAGGGUUUCUCUGUAUAGCCCUGGCUUUCCUGGAGCUCACUUUGUAGACCAGGCUGGCCUCGAACUCAGAAAUCCGCCUGCCUCUGCCUCCCGAGUGCUGGGAUUAAAGGCGUGCGCCACCACGCCCGGCUGAAAUAAAUGAACCUUUAAAAGAAAGAAAGAAAGAAAGAAAGAAAGAAAGGAAGGAAGGAAGGAAGGAAGGAAGGAAGGAAGGAAG
rnacentral:lncRNA from 1 species